rnacentral:rRNA from 1 species
GAGCUUGCUCCUUUGACGUUAGCGGCGGACGGGUGAGUAACACGUGGGCAACCUACCUUAUAGUUUGGGAUAACUCCGGGAAACCGGGGCUAAUACCGAAUAAUCUAUUUYACUUCAUGGUGAAAUACUGAAAGACGGUUUCGGCUGUCGCUAUAAGAUGGGCCCGCGGCGCAUUAGCUAGUUGGUGAGGUAACGGCUCACCAAGGCGACGAUGCGUAGCCGACCUGAGAGGGUGAUCGGCCACACUGGGACUGAGACACGGCCCAGACUCCUACGGGAGGCAGCAGUAGGGAAUCUUCCACAAUGGGCGAAAGCCUGAUGGAGCAACGCCGCGUGAGUGAAGAAGGUUUUCGGAUCGUAAAACUCUGUUGUAAGGGAAGAACAAGUACAGUAGUAACUGGCUGUACCUUGACGGUACCUUAUUAGAAAGCCACGGCUAACUACGUGCCAGCAGCCGCGGUAAUACGUAGGUGGCAAGCGUUGUCCGGAAUUAUUGGGCGUAAAGCGCGCGCAGGCGGUCCUUUAAGUCUGAUGUGAAAGCCCACGGCUCAACCGUGGAGGGUCAUUGGAAACUGGGGGACUUGAGUGCA